rnacentral:rRNA from 1 species
UCGAAUGGGGAGAUUCAUCGUCAGCGGCGCAGGCUUCACGAUGGUUUAGGCGAUGGUCGAGUGUGCACACCCUCGCGGUGUCUCGCUUACCACGCCGCCGUCGCGCUCAAUGUCCGGCGUCGUCGUCGUGCACUUCUCCUCUAGUAGGACGUCGCGACCCGUUGGGUGUCGGUCUACGGCCCGGGUGGGUGCCUGUCUCGUCGCCUCGGCGCACGGGGCAGACCCCCGGUCGCUCGACCGGCUGCUCGGCGGUACUCCUAAGGUAUCGGGCCGCAAAACUUGAAGUGCGUCCAGGCCCGUCGCAAGCUCGGUCAGUGUUAACCCGGAGGUACGGACUAUGCGCCGUCACCGGGCCUGGCCAGCUGUUCGCUCGAACGGUGUCCUCGGACUGGCCAUUAAACUCAAACUGUGAUACCGGUCGGCGACGCUAUUGCUUUGGGUACU